rnacentral:tRNA from 1 species
GCCUCCGUAGCUCAACGGUUAGAGCACUGCCCUCUUAAGGCAGGUGUUGUGGGUUCGAAUCCCACCGGGGGUA